UGUACUUAGUGAAAAAAGUCUGUGUAUAAGUGGACCCGUGCAGUUCAUACCUGUGUUGUUCAAGGGUCAACUGUAUAUAGUU
rnacentral:miRNA from 1 species